AUGCCUGGGGCGCGAUUCACAUCUCAACCGAAAUAUUUGUAAAGCGAUACGAACGAGUUACGAGAUGAAAUCCGCAAUGUUUAAAAACGCGAUUCAUAGCACACAUACUUUGAUCUCGUUUUCAUAUCGCUAGUUCGUAUUUGGAUGGCUUGAGUGAAAUGAAUGAAACUAUAUUUUUUUUAAUUGCCAUGCAAAAAUUAUAAAUACUACCACUAAUUGUUUUCAAUAAUUUUGUUCCUACAAUAUAUUUUGUUGGAAUUAGUGUCGAUAGCAAGUAUCAAGAAACAGCUUUUUAAUUCAACGUUGAAGAAAUUCAUAACCUGUGGCACUUUUGACAGCCGCCAUGUUUUCUCCAUAAAAACAUUGAUUUUCUUUGCUCAUUUUCGUGUCAACGUAGUUUUUUUGGAAAAUAAGAAGAAAGGAAGUUUAACUUACUUAGAGAAAUACGACUGAGACAUAAACACAAGCAGCAGCCGAUGUGCUUGAGUAGCAGAAGGAGCAACUGCGUUGUGAGAGGGCCACGGCUUCAGCCCUCACAAUGAUAGCUGAUUAGCUGAAGUAAUUAACAGACAGGCUGCAGUCAAUGAGAGGCUUCUUGAGGAGGGGUUCCUCAUAUGGAAAAAGAUUUUAGCGGCGACGCAGUUGCGCGACCAGUGAAGCUCUGGCUCCGCGACCGGCGUGGAGCGCGCGGUCCCGCGGCGCUGCUGCGGCUGCUGCGCGGGAGGGUCCCGUCCCUGCGCAUGCGCCUGGCCUUCAAUGACCUCACGCCUCUCUUCUUCCUCUUCUUCAUGCGUCAAUUCAAACAGAGGAGCACCUGUGAUUACUGAUUACCUAAGUUCCUAUAUACAAUAA